rnacentral:rRNA from 1 species
GAUGAACGCUGGCGGCGUGCCUAAUACAUGCAAGUCGAGCGAAGCGGGGAGGGGUGAGUAACACGUGGAUAACCUCCUAUAAGACUGGGAAAACUUCGGGAAACCGUAGCCAAACCGGAAACUUAUAGAUGGAUCCGUUCGGCAUUAGCUAGUUGGUAAGGUAACGGCUUACCAAGGCAACGAUCCAUAGCCGACCUGAGAGGGUGAUCGGCCACACUGGAACUGAGACACGGUCCAGACUCCUACGGGAGGCAGCAGUGGGGAAUCUUCCGCAAUGGGCGAAAGCCUGACGGAGCAAUGCCGCGUGAGUGAUGAAGGCCUUCGGAUCGUAAAACUCUGUUAUUAGGGAAGCGUUACCUACUCAGAAAGCCCCGGCUAACUACGUGCCAGCAGCCGCGGUAAUAC